rnacentral:rRNA from 1 species
UUAAGCGACUAAGCGUACACGGUGGAUGCCCUGGCAGUCAGAGGCGAUGAAGGACGUGCUAAUCUGCGAAAAGCGCCGGCGAGGUGAUAUGAACCCUUGACCCGGCGAUGUCCGAAUGGGGAAACCCAGUGUGUUUCGACACACUAUCGUUAACUGAAUACAUAGGUUAACGAGGCGAACCGGGGGAACUGAAACAUCUAAGUACCCCGAGGAAAAGAAAUCAACCGAGAUUCCCCCAGUAGCGGCGAGCGAACGGGGAGCAGCCCGGAGUCUGAAUCAGCUUGUGUGUUAGUGGAACGGUCUGGAAAGUCCGACGGUACAGGGUGAUAGUCCCGUACACGAAAAUGCACAGGUUGUGAACUCGAAGAGUAGGGCGGGACACGUGGUAUCCUGUCUGAAUAUGGGGGGACCAUCCUCCAAGGCUAAAUACUCCUGACUGACCGAUAGUGAACCAGUACCGUGAGGGAAAGGCGAAAAGAACCCCGGCGAGGGGAGUGAAAAAGAACCUGAAACCGUGUACGUACAAGCAGUGGGAGCACCUUCGGGUGUGACUGCGUACCUUUUGUAUAAUGGGUCAGCGACUUAUAUUCUGUAGCAAGGUUAACCGUAUAGGGGAGCCGAAGGGAAACCGAGUCUUAACUGGGCGUUAAGUUGCAGGGUAUAGACCCGAAACCCGGUGAUCUAGCCAUGGGCAGGUUGAAGGUUGGGUAACACUAACUGGAGGACCGAACCGACUAAUGUUGAAAAAUUAGCGGAUGACCUGUGGCUGGGGGUGAAAGGCCAAUCAAACCGGGAGAUAGCUGGUUCUCCCCGAAAGCUAUUUAGGUAGCGCCUCGUGAACUCAUCUUCGGGGGUAGAGCACUGUUUCGGCUAGGGGGCCAUCCCGGCUUACCAACCCGAUGCAAACUACGAAUACCGAAGAAUGUUAUCACGGGAGACACACGGCGGGUGCUAACGUCCGUCGUGAAGAGGGAAACAACCCAGACCGCCAGCUAAGGUCCCAAAGUCAUGGUUAAGUGGGAAACGAUGUGGGAAGGCACAGACAGCCAGGAUGUUGGCUUAGAAGCAGCCAUCAUUUAAAGAAAGCGUAAUAGCUCACUGGUCGAGUCGGCCUGCGCGGAAGAUGUAACGGGGCUAAACCAUGCACCGAAGCUGCGGCAGCGACGCUUAUGCGUUGUUGGGUAGGGGAGCGUUCUGUAAGCCGUUGAAGGUGUGCUGUGAGGCAUGCUGGAGGUAUCAGAAGUGCGAAUGCUGACAUAAGUAACGAUAAAGCGGGUGAAAAGCCCGCUCGCCGGAAGACCAAGGGUUCCUGUCCAACGUUAAUCGGGGCAGGGUGAGUCGACCCCUAAGGCGAGGCCGAAAGGCGUAGUCGAUGGGAAACAGGUUAAUAUUCCUGUACUUGGUGUUACUGCGAAGGGGGGACGGAGAAGGCUAUGUCAGCCGGGCGACGGUUGUCCCGGUUUAAGCAUGUAGGCGGAGGUUCCAGGUAAAUCCGGUACCUUAUUAACGCUGAGGUGUGAUGACGAGGCACUACGGUGCUGAAGUGAUAAAUGCCCUGCUUCCAGGAAAAGCCUCUAAGCAUCAGGUAACACGAAAUCGUACCCCAAACCGACACAGGUGGUCAGGUAGAGAAUACCAAGGCGCUUGAGAGAACUCGGGUGAAGGAACUAGGCAAAAUGGUGCCGUAACUUCGGGAGAAGGCACGCUGAUAUGUAGGUGAAGCCCCUGCGGGCGGAGCUGAAAUCAGUCGAAGAUACCAGCUGGCUGCAACUGUUUAUUAAAAACACAGCACUGUGCAAACACGAAAGUGGACGUAUACGGUGUGACGCCUGCCCGGUGCCGGAAGGUUAAUUGAUGGGGUUAGCGGCAACGCGAAGCUCUUGAUCGAAGCCCCGGUAAACGGCGGCCGUAACUAUAACGGUCCUAAGGUAGCGAAAUUCCUUGUCGGGUAAGUUCCGACCUGCACGAAUGGCGUAAUGAUGGCCAGGCUGUCUCCACCCGAGACUCAGUGAAAUUGAACUCGCUGUGAAGAUGCAGUGUACCCGCGGCAAGACGGAAAGACCCCGUGAACCUUUACUAUAGCUUGACACUGAACACUGGUCCUUGAUGUGUAGGAUAGGUGGGAGGCUUUGAAGCGUGGACGCCAGUCUGCGUGGAGCCGCCCUUGAAAUACCACCCUUUAAUGGCUGGUGUUCUAACGUAGACCCGUGAUCCGGGUUGCGGACAGUGUCUGGUGGGUAGUUUGACUGGGGCGGUCUCCUCCCAAAGAGUAACGGAGGAGCACGAAGGUUGGCUAAUCCUGGUCGGACAUCAGGAGGUUAGUGCAAUGGCAUAAGCCAGCUUGACUGCGAGCGUGACGGCGCGAGCAGGUGCGAAAGCAGGUCAUAGUGAUCCGGUGGUUCUGAAUGGAAGGGCCAUCGCUCAACGGAUAAAAGGUACUCCGGGGAUAACAGGCUGAUACCGCCCAAGAGUUCAUAUCGACGGCGGUGUUUGGCACCUCGAUGUCGGCUCAUCACAUCCUGGGGCUGAAGUAGGUCCCAAGGGUAUGGCUGUUCGCCAUUUAAAGUGGUACGCGAGCUGGGUUUAGAACGUCGUGAGACAGUUCGGUCCCUAUCUGCCGUGGGCGCUGGAGAAUUGAGGGGGGCUGCUCCUAGUACGAGAGGACCGGAGUGGACGCAUCACUGGUGUUCGGGUUGUCAUGCCAAUGGCACUGCCCGGUAGCUAAAUGCGGAAGAGAUAAGUGCUGAAAGCAUCUAAGCACGAAACUUGCCCCGAGAUGAGUUCUCCCUGAGACUUUAAGUCUCCUGAAGGAACGUUGAAGACGACGACGUUGAUAGGUCGGGUGUGUAAGCGCAGCGAUGCGUUGAGCUAACCGAUACUAAUGAACCGUGAGGCUUAACCUU